UUGAAAGGCACCUUUUUUCCCAUUGACACCCCGCACCGCCGCCAGCCCGCCACCAGUUCUUCCCCCAUCGCCCGCCGGGUCGCCUCCCCGGUUCCCGGCGCUGCCUCCCGAUUCCCCACUGUGCCUCCGACCCAAUCCCCCGGUGCCGCUUCAGCUUGCUUAGUAACCGCCGGUCAGCCCCGUGCGUGUUAAUCCAUGGCAACCGCCGGUCAGCUCCGUGCACGGCAACUGCCUAUCGUGGAGACGGUGGUUCUAAAGCGGGGCAGCGUAGGAGGCGCUGGUGAAGUACAGGGCAGAGUCCGACGUCCGGAAUCUGGUGCUCGGAUCCGCUACCUUGGGUUGGUUCAGGAAGUAUCGACAUUCGAAUUGUUGUGCGUCUCCAUUGGAAAAGCUAAGUUUACUUGGUGCGAAACAAAACUUUGGAUACGCCAGAGCAUACUGCAUACAAAUCUGUUCUAAUUGACUUUGUUGGAGGAAGGAGCAAAAGAUUCAGUCGACUCACUUCAUAUCAUCCCCUGAGAGUUCUUUUCUUUGCAACUUUGGAACGCUCAAGGCGGCGACGGAACUGAAGCGUUUCGGCAAUGGCUGGAUCGAGUUCGGCUGGUGAAGACCUCACUGUCGCUGGCUAGAAUGGCAUCAUCGGCGGCCAGGGCUCUGCCUCCCUGCCCUUCAACAAGUGCCCCAUCUGAAAGGACUGCAAAGUCCUCCCCACCAGCAUUCUGUUCAUGAACAAUCAGAACACGGUGGUGCGCGACAUCAUGUCUGUGAACAGCAAGUUCUUCCACAUCGUGCUGCUGCAGAACAACAACACGAAGAUGAUCAACCUCCGGAUCAGCGCCCCAGAAAACAGCCCAAACACGGAUGGCACCCACAUCGAGCUUAGCAGCGGUGUGAUCAUCGCUGACACCCACAUCAGCACCUGCGACGACUGCAUCUCCAUCGGCCAGGGGAAGUGGGGAACGACAACAUCGACAUCGCACGCGUCCACUGCGGCCCGGGCAAUGCCAUGAGUGUCGGCAGGCUUGGACGCUACGUCGACGAGGGCGACGUCACUCACAUCCACGUCAAAGAUAUGACCUUCGAGGGCACAAUGAAUGGUGUCCGGAUCAAGACAUGGGAGAACUCAGAGCAUCCCCACUCGUCU